GAUGAAGAACGCAGCGAAAUGCGAUAAGUAAUGUGAAUUGCAGAAUUCAGUGAAUCAUCGAAUCUUUGAACGCACCUUGCGCUCCUUGGUAUUCCGAGGAGCAUGCCUGUUUGAGUGUCAUGAAAUUCUCAACCUUUUCAGCUUUCUUUGUUGAUCAGGCUUGGAUGUGGGAGUAUGCGGGCUUCUCAGAAGUCGGCUCUCCUGAAAUGCAUUAGCGGGACCUUUGUUGCCUGGCUUUGAUGUGAUAAUUAUCUACGCCAUUGUAGUCAAGCAGCUUAAAAUGAGGUUUCAGCUUCUAACCGUCUCCCCUGAGACAACUUUUUGACAAUUUGACCUCAAAUCAGGUAGGACUACCCGCUGAACUUAAGCAUAUCAAUAAGCGGAGGA
rnacentral:misc_RNA from 1 species